UACGUAGGGACCAAGCGUUGUUUCGGAUUUACUGGGGCGGUAAAGGGCGCGUAGGCGGCCAAUUCAAAGUUCAUCUGUGAAAUCCUCCGGGCUUAACCCGGAAAGGUCAGAUGAUACUGCUUUGCUAGAGUGCGGAAGGGGCAAUCGGAAUUCUUGGUGUAGCGGUGAAAUGCGUAGAUAUCAAGAGGAACACCUGAGGUGAAGACGGGUUGCUGGGCCGACACUGACGCUGAAGCGCGAAAGCCAGGGGAGCAAACGGG
rnacentral:rRNA from 1 species